rnacentral:rRNA from 1 species
UACAGAGGGUGCAAGCGUUAAUCGGAAUUACUGGGCGUAAAGCGUGCGCAGGCGGUUUUGUAAGCCAGAUGUGAAAUCCCCGGGCUUAACCUGGGAAUGGCAUUUGGGACUGCAAGGCUUGAGUGCGGCAGAGGAGACUGGAAUUCCUGGUGUAGCAGUGAAAUGCGUAGAUAUCAGGAGGAACACCGAUGGCGAAGGCAGGUCUCUGGGCUGACACUGACGCUCAUGCACGAAAGCGUGGGGAGCAAACAG